AUGCUUUUUUUAAAAAUAAAUUAAAAAAAAAAAUACUUACAACUUGUCUCUCCAGAACCCCUUAAAGGCUUAAACCCUAAAUUUCGCAAAACCAUGAAAACCCCAGUCUCUUUCUCUCACAUGAGCAAUACCCAAAAUUACAAAGCCUUCCUCUCUUUCUAAAUGUUAAAAAUUACCAUUUCAAGAAUGAAGGCACUAAUCACCCCACCAUUUUCAUUCUCUCCAAUGUCCAAAAAGGCCACACCUUUAGCUUCCAGUUCCUUCUCUUUAGCUUCAAAAUUCAAUCUUUUCUCUAAUCUUCAAAACCCCAUUUCUUAUUUCCCUCUAAAACCCUCUAUGAUUUCACUUCCCUCAAAUUUUCCAAUUCAGACCCGGUGUGUCCAUUCAAAAUCCUCUCUUUCUUCUUCAUCUGGUGAAAUUCAUGUGAUUGUUGGUCCUAUGUUUGCUGGCAAAACUACUACUCUUCUUCACCGGGUUCAAGCUGAAAUCAAUGAUGGCAGGUUAGGAAUUUGCGUGAAUUGGAAAAAAAUAUUAAAGGGUCUUUGUAUAACGGGGAGAUUGAACGAAGCCGUGGGGCUAUUAUGGCGAUCAGGGUUGGAAGUGGACCAUGGGAUCUAUGCUCUUCUGUUGCAAGAAUGCAUUUUCAAGAAACUUUAUAAUAAAGGGAAAAGAAUCCAUGCACAAAUGGUUGUUGUUGGGUAUGUUCCAAAUGAGUACCUGAAGACUAAAUUGAUGAUAUUGUAUGCAAAAUCUGGGGAUUUAAAGACUAUGCAUUUGUUGUUUGACAUGUUGAUGGAGAAAAGCUUGAUUUCUUGGAACGCAUUGAUUGCUGGAUAUGUGCAAAAAGGGCUUGAAGAAAUGGGACUUAGUUUUUAUUAUGAAAUGAGACAAAAUGGUCUGACACCAGACCAAUAUACCUUUGCGUCAGUUUUCAGAGCCUGUGCUACUUUAGCAACACUGGAGCAUGGGAAGCGAGCCCAUUGUGUCAUGAUAAAGUGCUUUCUUAAAGAAAAUGUUGUAGUCAGUAGUGCCCUCAUGGAUAUGUACUUCAAAUGCAGCAGCCUGUAUGAUGGACAUUUGGUCUUUGAUAAAUCAUCAAAUAGAAAUGUUGUCACCUGGACUUCUUUGAUAUCUGGGUAUGGCCAUCAUGGAAGAGUCGCGGAGGUGAUAGAAUCAUUUCACAGGAUGAAAGAUGAAGGUUUCCAACCAAAUUAUGUUACUUUUCUUGCAGUCCUUUCUGCUUGUAGCCAUGGAGGUUUGGUUGAUGAGGGUUGGGCCUAUUUCUCAUCAAUGAGGAGAGAUUAUGGAAUCCAGCCUAGAGGGAAACAUUAUGCAGCCAUGGUCGAUCUUCUAGGCCGUGCUGGGAGGUUAAAAGAGGCUUAUGAGUUUGUUGUUAAUGCACCAUGCAAGGAACACUCGGUUUUAUGGGGUGCUUUGCUUGGUGCUUGUAAGAUUCAUGGUGAUAUGGACCUGAUAGAGCUUGCCGCUAGGAAAUACUUUGAACUGGAUCCAGAAAAUGCUGGAAAGUAUGUAGUCUUAUCUAAUGCCUAUGCUGCUUUUGGACUUUGGGAUAGUGUUGCAGAGGUUAGGGGGGUGAUGAGAGAUACAGAAAUAAAUAAAGAGCCUGCUUAUAGCAGCAUUGAGGUUCAAGGGAAGGCCCACUUUUUCCUACAGGGUGAUAAAUCUCAUAGGGAAUCUGAGGAGAUAUACAAGACUAUUAUUGAAAUGAUUUGGAUUUUAAAUGAUGCAGGCUAUGUUCCUGAUUUGAGUGAUUGUUAAUUAUUGACAGAGCCCAUUUUCUUUGCGUAUCUUCUUUUCUCUAUCUUGUUGAGAAUCAUGGCUCUUAACUUACUGGAACUCAAUUUGGAGAAUCCACUAUAGAUAAGGAACAUUAAUUAUCACAAAUGCAUUCUCCAGCAAUAGACAGCUUUCAUUUUUAAGUUUAAAAUGCACCUUGUUGAAGGAUGUACAAGAGAAUGGCUCUGGGUUGAAAGAAGUAUUGGCUCAUUUGGGUGGUGAAACCCAAUAAAUUUUGUGAACUGCACCCAACUGUGAUGUGAGUACUUUGAGCAUCAAGGGAAAGCACUAAAUUCCUUGUAUUAUCCAGGACAUGUCAUGAAGAUGACCAGCCUUCUUGUUGACUCGUUACAAGUUGGCAGUGAGGAGUAAAAGCAUUUGAAACAUGGUGUACAAUCUAUUCCUUUUAUCCAAAACCUGUCACCCUUGGCUGGGCUUCCAUUUGAUUAUUAGAGUUUUAUGGUGCUUAGCUGCGUAGGUUGAUCAUCUGAGAAACGUAGCAAUUAUAAAAUCAAACAAGGAUAAUAGAUAUGGGUUGGAUUCAGUAGUGACACAUGAUGGGGUUAAAUUACCAUGUUGCGCACUGCCCAAUCUAUCAUCAUUCAAACAGAGUUUUGGUCAGGAUGCUUA